UCCAUUCGUCUCCCGAAGUCUCCACCUCCACCUCGUUCUAUUCUGUCGCUAUCUCUCUCAUCCCUAUCUGCACAGGGCCGAGCGGUUGUUGCUUCCUGCGAGAUUUGCCGCCGUGAUACACUACGCGACGUGGGCGGCUUCCCCCGAGCUUGCAGGCACCAGCACCCCACUCCAGCUCCUACCCUCGCCGCCGACGGAGGCCACCACCAGGUGAAGCCUGCGUCGUGGCUUCUCCUCGUCUCUCGGCCGUGCCCCCGGGCUGUCCUGUCAUCCCGGUGCUCGGGAGGUCCGGCGGCGCGUUUCUCGGUGGCCUCCUGCCGGCCGACGGAUCCAGGGCGGCUGCUCCUCUCGCCGCGCCUCCCCGUUACUGCGGCGCGAUGUCCCGCCCCUCCUUACUUUUCUUCCCUCCUCUGAGCUCCAUGGGGACCAGCGCCGCCCAAGUUUCCCCGCCCCCGGGUUCCGGUGAGGGCUGCGGCGAUCCACGGCUGCUGGGCUUCUUUUCCUACGGGGCUGGGGAAUUGGGAGAUGCUCCUGCUGCUGCCAGUCAUGGGGGAUACAUGUUCAGACGGGAGAUGAUGAACCGGGCAAUGCACGCCGCGGCGAGGGGCGACGACCUGAAGAUCCUCAAGGAGCUCCUGCAGGGUUGCUCCAUUGCUGGUGCGUACCAGGACGCCCAGGGCGCCACCAUCUUUCAUGUUGCUGCUUCAAGGGGGCCAAGUUGAGGUGAUUCUGCUUCUGAAUCUUUGAUAUCUGAUUGCCUCAAAGUUACAUCACAUUCCUUUUGGCCUAGUUGAUAUGUCGUUCACCGCUAUAUGUACUAAUCGUAUUAAACAGCAUUAUUUGACCCGAAGUGGCGAUAAACAAAGAUAAAUCUAUUCAACUCUGAGAUUAGUUGCUAGUUUGUGAGACAUCACACAUGAGAGCUUCUGUUUGACAUGAUUGCUGCUAUAAGUUGGUCUUAUGAACAUUCAACAUGCCAUCCAGAGAGAUGGCCAUGGCUGCCCGAUGCCCGAGCGUCGCCGGCCAAGGACCCGCCGGCGUCUAGACCCCCUCCACGCCAUCCCCAUCUCGCCGAAGACCUGCACCAAGUCCCGUCCAGAGCCUGCGCCAUCCUCGGCCCCCGCCCCGCAGCUCUACAGCCCGAGCGCUUCAGCCGCCUCGCACCCGAUGUAGAGGAGAGGAGCUCCCUGCCACGAGCCUCCCUAGCGCUAGCAAACCAGCAGGCCGACCCCGCCUCCUUCUCGCUUCCCUCCUCCUUCCUUUUGCCUCCCGCGGCAUGGCCGCCGUCCCGUGCCCGGCGGUGGAGAAGACAAAUGGAUAAGGCAGUUUAAUUAAAUACUGUGAGUGUAAUUGUAACUAAUAUAGGGGUGUUUUUGUAAAAACGAAGGGUUCUCUCAGAUUCUCACUUAAAGUAGGACUGCGGGUUGAAUUCUGAAAAACGAAGGGGCUUUUCUGUAAAAAUGCCCGACGUACGAACAGAAGCAGUAGGUGCUUUAUUAGUAAAAAAAAAAUAGGUAAAGAUAUAUAUAUAUAUAUAUAUAUGUAAAAAUAAAGAUUAGUAAAGUCGGCGAGAUUUCUCAAAAAAAAAA